rnacentral:rRNA from 1 species
UACGGAGGGUGCGAGCGUUGUCCGGAAUCAUUGGGCGUAAAGGGCGCGUAGGUGGCCCGGUCAGUUCGUGGUGAAAGCGCGGGGCUCAACCCUGCGUCGGCCAUGAAUACUGCCGCGGCUGGAGCACUGUAGAGGCAGGCGGAAUUCCGGGUGUAGCGGUGGAAUGCGUAGAGAUCCGGAAGAACACCGGUGGCGAAGGCGGCCUGCUGGGCGGUUGCUGACACUGAGGCGCGACAGCGUGGGGAGCAAACAGG